rnacentral:rRNA from 1 species
AUUGAACGCUGGCGGCAGGCCUAACACAUGCAAGUCGAACGAGUGGCGGACGGGUGAGACAUGUCUGGAAAACAGCCUGAUGGCGGGGGUUAACUCCUGGAAACGGUAGCUAAUACCGCAUACCAUCCGAUGUUCCCAGAUGGGAUUAGCUAGUAGGUGGGGUAACGGCUAACCUAGGAGACGAUCCAUAGCUGGUCUGAGAGGAUGACCGGCCACACUGGAACUGAGACACGGUCCAGACUCCUACGGGAGGCAGCAGUGGGGAAUAUUGCACAAUGGGCGCAAGCCUGAUGGAGCCACGCCGCGUGUAUGAUGAAGGCCUUCGGGUUGUAAAGUACUUUCAUCGGGGAGGCGUUACCCGCAGAAAAAGCACCGGCUAACUCCGUGCCAGCAGCCGCGGUAAUAC